GAGCUUUCUUAUAUCCUCCUUAAUCACAGUCAUAUGGUAGGCUUCUUUUUCAAGCAAGCAGGAAGGGGAAGGAGCGAUGGCCAUGGAAAUGUGUAGUGUGUGCCGAAGUUCUGCAGGCGAGCUGCUGCGUCUGGUUUAAAGUGUGUUUGAAGGUGAACCACAGCAGUCUUGUUCCAAGGAUGCAAGGGACAUUGAAGGAUUCUGAAGGCUUCGCUGGCAAGACUCCUCAGAGGAUCUGAGAGAGGCGGGAGCAGAAAAGGCUGUUCAGUGAAAUCAGGAAGGGACCGAAAGAAAUAGGAGAUUGGAAACCACAAGCAAAUCAGAGCUGCCGCUUCUGCAAUGAACUGGCUAGAUGAACCAAACUGGCAGCUUCAUGUUUCUUUGCUCAUGCUCCUCUCCGUGCACACCAGGGCCAGUUUCCUAGACAACAGACCCUUACGUAGUUCUGGGAAAGUGAACAUGGAAACAAGGAAGGAAGAUGGUGGAAGCACAGCAGCUGCUCCCCCACAGAAGAUGCUGUUAUGCUACUGUUAUCAUCACUGUCCUGAAGAGUCAAGCAACAAUACCUGCAAAACGGAUGGCUAUUGUUUUGCUAUGAUAGAAGAUGAGGACUCUGGAGGGCAGACUCUUACCUCAGGCUGUCUAGGGUUAGAGGGCUCCGACUUCCAGUGUCGGGACACUCCAGUGUCUCACCCACGAAGAUUAAUUGAAUGCUGCACGGAUCAAGAUUUCUGUAACAAAGAUCUUCACCCUACUCUGCCACCCCUAAAAAAUCAAGAUUUUGCAGAGGGAAAUGUCCACCACAAGGUCUUGCUGAUUUCAGUGACUGUCUGUAGCAUACUUCUCCUCUUUAUCAUCCUGUUCUGCUACUUCAGGUAUAAAAGGCAAGAGAGCCGGCCUCGUUACAGCAUUGGACUGGAGCAAGACGAGACUUAUAUUCCACCGGGAGAAUCCUUGAAAGACCUCAUUGAACAGUCUCAGAGCUCAGGAAGUGGAUCUGGACUCCCUCUGCUGGUACAAAGGACUAUCGCAAAGCAGAUUCAGAUGGUGAAGCAGAUUGGCAAAGGUCGUUAUGGAGAAGUCUGGAUGGGGAAGUGGCGUGGGGAAAAGGUGGCUGUCAAAGUGUUCUUUACCACGGAGGAAGCCAGUUGGUUUCGAGAGACAGAGAUCUACCAAACUGUCCUGAUGAGACAUGAAAACAUUUUGGGGUUUAUUGCUGCUGACAUUAAAGGUACAGGAUCUUGGACUCAGUUGUAUCUGAUCACAGAUUACCAUGAGAAUGGCUCCCUGUAUGACUAUUUGAAAUCCACUACCUUAGAUACAAAAGCCAUGCUGAAGCUGGCAUAUUCGUCAGUCAGCGGAUUGUGCCACUUGCACACUGAGAUUUUCAGCACUCAGGGCAAACCAGCUAUUGCUCACCGGGACCUCAAAAGUAAAAAUAUUUUGGUGAAGAAGAAUGGAACUUGUUGUAUAGCAGACCUGGGCUUGGCAGUUAAAUUUAUAAGUGAUACAAACGAGGUGGACAUCCCACCAAAUACUAGAGUGGGGACUAAACGUUAUAUGCCUCCUGAGGUUUUGGAUGAAAGCCUGAAUCGGAAUCAUUUCCAGUCAUACAUAAUGGCUGACAUGUACAGUUUUGGGCUCAUCCUUUGGGAAGUAGCAAGAAGAUGUGUUUCAGGAGGUAUUGUUGAAGAAUACCAGCUUCCAUAUCAUGACCUCGUGCCUAGUGACCCUUCCUAUGAAGACAUGAGGGAAAUUGUAUGUAUGAAGAAGUUACGGCCUUCAUUUCCCAACAGGUGGAGCAGUGAUGAGUGCUUAAGGCAGAUGGGCAAACUCAUGACGGAAUGCUGGGCUCACAACCCCGCUUCCCGGCUCACAGCUCUGCGAGUAAAGAAAACACUUGCCAAAAUGUCAGAGUCACAGGACAUUAAACUCUGAUUCAGAUGACAAAAGGCACCUCUUUUGCUAAAGCUCAUAAAAAUGGACUUUCCUUCAUGUUUCCAAGAGACAGGAAGAGGAAUGACAAGCCUUUGUUAAUAUCAACCUUGAAUGCAGUCCUUCAUCCAAAAGCCUCUGUAUGGUGACACAGAAAGCUUUUCUGGAGCUCCAAGAAGGAUCGUACCAACACCUGCUUCAAGAUGAUGCAUGCUGCUUUCUAUGGAAGCCCAUAAUAAUAUUAUUAUUAUGACUAUUAUUAUUUGGAUUGUUUAAAUUUUAUGAAAAUGAACCUUCGAAAUACAAAAGUACAAAAAGAAUUAUAUUGUUACAUUAAAAGGGGAGAAUCAAAAGAAAUCUCAUCUGAAGUUUAAAGCAAAGUGGCAAUUAUUUCCCAUUGAGUUAUUGCACUCCACAACAAAGUACCUGCUGUGUUCUGAAAUGAAAGGAAGGUACAAUAGAAACAGGCUUACCUGCUAGUUGCAUUUGAUGUAAAUUUGAUGCAUUUGAUGUAAAUUGUAUCCAAAGUUAUGUGAGUUGCUGUUAAGCAGUAUGGCUCAUACAGUCUUGCUCUGCUGAUGUCCCCUGUGCAUUAGACUCUUCAAACUAAUGGCUGUACCUUUGGAGCACCCUCAGUCAGUUCCAGGGUUCUUGUGCAGGAGAUGUGCUGCCCAGGGGGAUAUGGCCAGAGCCUGGCAUUCUCAGAUCUUUAAAGCCGCGGACCAGCAGGGGGAGGUAAAAUGUCAGGAAGAUAAUUAAAACAUGAAGUAAGCGUCAAUAUUUUCAAAAAUACACACUCCUUCCCGUUUGUUAUUCUCAUUCCUGUUUGUUUUAAAGAAGAGUUUUUGUGAGUUAUUGCAGAAGGAGCAUCAUGUUUUCAAUAGCUUGCUUCAUUUUUGCUCUUGCCCAGAUUCCUACUGAGUUUCUAGAAAGAGGAGAACCUACCUGAACUUUAAAAAAAAUAUUCUUAUAUUAUUUUCUAAACAAAUUGGUAUAUUGUUGAUUUAUCUCUCUGUAAUUGUAUUCAUAGACACACCCUAUUAUUUGGGCUGGAAUCCCGAGAAUUGUAAGGAUGUUUCUCUGCACGCACCUAAUACUUUUUUUGGAGGGGGGGGUUCCCUUCCUUCAGCAGCCCCCAUGCUUCCAAAUGGCUACGCAUGAGUGGUACACAAGUCUGAAGCUUGAAGGAAAAGUCCAAAAGGCACACAUAUGGGGCUGUUUUGGUUCCCACUUGCUUGAGAAUCUCCUGUGCCAUCAUUGAUAAUUCUUUCUUGAGGAUCUUGUGUUUUUUCUGAUAUAAAGUUGCCCAGUUAAAAAUAUGCCUGUAAAGUACAAGCCCUACCCCAGUUAUAUUGAAAUUGCAAUAUUUUUUUAACGUAUUUCUGAAAUGAACAUGCGUGGCUAACCAUGCUAGAAGGUUUUUUUAGUAUGUCUAGAAUUUUUGGUGUAAAGUCCACCAGAUUGGCUGUUGAGCAGUUUUGGUGCUCACAUUGGACUGGGGUCGAGAAUGUGAACUGGGGUCCAAGUGUAAACAGGGUUGGAAAGAUGAGGUUUUGAAAAGGGAACAUUCUUAUUUGAGGGACCUUUUGUAAUGACUGUUAUGCCUCUAGGGGUCACUGUGCGGCUUCUGAUUCUGAAAGUUCUGGUGUCUGUAGAGAAAGAAGAGAAAAAGCUGCAGGUUAGAUUCCAGAAGUAUAGCUAUCAGGCAUUCUCCCCUGCUUUGCAAAGUUAGUGGACAUCAAAGGUUUAAAAAUAUUGGGGAUAGAGCAGUGUGUAUGAAGUGAAACACUUUGGUGUGAUAAGCUGGAAGUGGGGGGAAUGUAAUUGGUAGUUAGAGCUUGUUUCAGACUCUGACUUCACAGAGGAAUACUGAUAUGUAUUGGAUGUUUGCUUACUCUAGUCUUUUACAGGGAAGACUUUGGGUGCUAGUAAGGCAUUUCUGUACCCUCUGGCAGCGGCCCUACGAUAAAGAUUUGUUCAAGAACAGUCAUGAACCUUCCCUCUGCUUGUGAAUCUGAAGAGACCUACAACUACAUUCAGUUAAGCAUGGGAGAAUCUCAUUGAUUUGGGGCUAAUAUAUAGGCUAUGCUGUGGGCAAUUUGACUGGUGAAGCUAUUAGUUGCUGCUACAUGUACAUUUCUGUUCCAAAGCAGAAGUCAAUCAUGCACAGAGCCAGCUUCUUCUUAAGAUACAUUCUCCUCCUCUUGGGUGCCUUACAUCUUAACAGCUAGUACCAUAAAUUCCCAGUGCUAUGAUUGGUGAUUAGCUAAUGGAGGCUAAGAAAAGCCCAAAGAGAUUUUGACCUGGCUGCGAUUGAAAACAAGAUGACCCAUUUAGGAUUUUGCUAUAUGAUAAAAGCAACAGAACAGAGUCAAUGAGUCAAAGCCUAUGCUGUACCAAACACAUGAAGUCAUGUUACCAAAAACUGUGGGCAUCCUCAGUUAUGUUGUCAUCAUCCUUUCCUUGCCAUAGAAAUUCCCUACUGUAUCUUCCUGUACCUUUGUAGUUCAGAUUUGAGAAGAACCAGAAAAAAAGAGAAACACCAGAAGGCACAGGUUUUGCCAAUUAUGAUAAGCUAAAAGAUGAUAUAUUCUGAGAUCCUCUCACUCUGAUUCUGGUUUCUGAGAAAACUGGUUCUUACCUGCAGGCAAUAUCUUCUUGGAAUAUGGUAAAAUGCGGAUAGUUUCAUGUUGCUGUUCAGUGCGUGAUAAAGCUUGCUUUCUGCUCGUCCAGUUUGCAGCUGAUAUUAACCAAGCCAUUUCAGCUUCUCAAAAGUGAUUUAGCAGUGGUGAAAUAAGUAGGUGAUGAAAAAUGAACUUGCAAUUAACCAGCUGGAAGAUUGCAUUGCCAUCAGCUGAACUGUGACAGGAAAUCAAAUUAAUCCACAUUUUACAUUCCAAGAAUUCUUCAGAGUCCUGAAAUCAUAAUUUCCCACAAAAAUAAGUAGGCACGUUAAACCAAAUCCUUUUUUUUGUUGUUGUUGUUAGAGGCCUGUGUAUUUUAGGCUUUCUGUUGUUAUAACUUGAGACAGUUUCUUCAGAGAACACAAAGCAAAGUUUCAAAAGGAUGAGAGUUUCUUCAGAACACAAAGCAAAGUUUCAAAAAGAUGGCCUUAUAGCUCCAAGUUUCUGAAUUUCCAUAUUAUUUCAAGAUGCAAAAGUGUUUCAUUUACAGCCACCAAAAUAAAGGCAAGAUGCCAGCUGGUAGGCCAUAUCACUUUUUCUUCUGUUCAGGCUUGCAUUUAAAAAAAAAUAUGUGUGCGUUUAUAGAGAUAUAAUUUUGAGUUGGGAGUCUGGAGCUACUCCAUUUAUAUGGAUUAAGGGUAAAAUAUUACAGAUGAUAAAGCACUAAAUAAAACCUAUUUAUUUGUGAAAACUUGUAGCUGACAAUUCACAAUGAUGGUGUGAUAUGGGGAAAAUGGGACAUUAGCAGUGAAAUGACAAGGGCAGAAUAAAAUCUUUUUGUUUGCUUCAGUUUUUAUAGAAAACUUGAAGGGUCAUUUUCUGUUUCUCUAACUAAACAAAAAGUUAUGCAUUGUGGAUAUCUGAAUGGACAGUCUGCAUUCACACAAAAAUCUGGUUGGUUCAUGACACAUGUGCUUCCUUCCUCCUCCUUUGACAUGCAGAGCUGAAGUGCAACUCUUUUUGCAUUCAGGGGAAUCUUUGUCUAACCACUAUUUGCAUUUACAUCUUAUUUGGACUGCAUGAAAAAAAAAUAUAUUGUAAGCCUUGUUUAGAAUCCUGGCUGGUAGACAAGGUACAACCAACUAGCAUUAAACCAUUGUUUAGAAUCUAAUUGUUGAGGUGAGAAAUAAACCCCAGUUUGUUAAAGUCAACCCAGUGCUGAUCUUGCAACAAGCUCUGGUUUCUUUCAUACCAGGUGAUUUUAAAUAGGUCCAUUUGCAAAAGAAAGAAGGAGGAAGCCUGCAAGUCUGGGAACCAACUAGGCUUACCAUGAACUAACUGCUGUUUGUGCAAUUUGAAUGCAGCUGCCGUCUCCAUCUGUGGUUUGGUUUUAGCACUAUUGUGUGACUUACCACAGUUCUACUCAUGCAGAUAGGCAAGCUCUUUUCCAGUUAACUGAUUUUCAUUCACAUUUGUGAGGGCCAGUUAAGUGAUGUCAUUUCCUGCUGGUUAUUAUGCUCAGAAUAAUGACCUGACACCCUACUUCAGACCAUCAAAGCACUGUCAAAGUUAAUGGUUAUACAUGGGUACUUUGGAAGAGAUCAUGUAACAGAAGUUUGAAAAAAGUUUUCAGGGGAAUGUAAAGCAAAACAUUUCUGUGAAUGGGAGGUAUGGUGAGAAGAGAAAGCUUCAAGAAGGAGGAUUAUCUGGCUACUAUUAGCCCUUUGCUAGCACAGCACAAGUUAUUUCUUUUGAAGAAAAGUUGGCAAUGUAAUUUUUUUUUAUUAUAAUGAUUUGUGUUCUUUUUUGAGAACCAGUGCCUUAUUCAAUCUGUAAAUAGUAUAACUGUAAAAACUAGGGAACAAGCCUAUGUUGUAAUUGUUGGAGAUGGUAUAUGUCUGUUUUAACAUUCCCCAAUAAAAUGUUUUCAGUUCCCCUUUAAAA